rnacentral:tRNA from 1 species
GCUCCUGUAGUGUAGUCCGGUCAAGCACGAUGGCCUUUCGCGCCGUCAACCCGGGUCCAAAUCCCGGCGGGAGCA